UGGAGAGAUAAACUAAGCCCCGAUGGGAGUCGUGGGCCUCAUGGAUUCCAAUUCUAAUUCGCUUCUUGUCGUAGUGGUGCCAUCCUGCUUCUUCCAGAUUUCUGGUAUCAUCUGCUUCAGCUCGGCGAUGCUACCCAACAGAGAUAUAGAUGCUACCAAGGCUGUUCGAAGAUCCAGAGCCUUCCCUGCAUCGAUGUUCCUCUCGCUGUCGUCCAGAAAUAGCUGACAGAAACAGGAUGGUGACGGUUUUAUUGCGAAUUCUAAGGUGCCAAGUAAAUUCCCAUGGAAAAAGAGGGAAGGCUUAAAUUAGCGUAAGCUUGCUGUUUUUACCGUGCGACGGGGAGCGACGCCGGCGAGCCGCACGGCCAUCUCCAUGGCGGCUGCAGAGGGCUUGAGGAUCACCGGCGACUUCGAACACCUGGUCGCGUCCUCGAAUAGGUGCGGGUUCAUCGUCUCGAAACAAAUGAUGCGUUGGAAGCAGUCCUCGAUGCCCAAUCUCUGCAGCACCCUCGUCGCGUGACGCCGGUCCGAGUUCGUGAACAGCUGCGUGCGCCACCAGAAAGAACAAUCAAUACCCACAAUUUUUGCCCUGAUUAUUACGAAUUAUAAAGUCGAGCACGCACGAUCUUGCGCUGGGGAACGCUGAGGAGAAGCUCUCGCAGCGUCGCGUCAGGCUCGAUGAGGUCGUAGGGCGAUCUCCCAUGAACGUAGCUGAAGCCACUCAACGAAUUAAGUCGACAAAGACGAGAAUCAAUCAAAAUAUAUUUAGCUCCUCACCUGUGAUACUCGUCGGGGUGAACGUCAUAACCUUGAGCCUGAAAUAAUUUGAGAAAAAUGAAAAUGAUUAAUUAAUUAAUUAAUCAGAAUAAUUGGUUUCAUCGAAGAAGGUUUGGAGGGCAUGUCAAAUACUAUGAGGCCUGCAAGGGAGCUGCCAUGGGAUUGGAAGAGCUCAGCACGGAGGGACGAGGCUUCCUCUGCUGAUAUCCCACAUUUGCUAGCGAGGAACUCUGAGAAUUAAAAAGAUUUAUUGAAUGGAUCA